UACGUAGGGGGCGAGCGUUGUCCGGAGUUACUGGGCGUAAAGCGCACGCAGGCGGUCUGCUAAGUUUGGAGUGACAGUUGGUGGCUUAACUGCCAAAGUGCUUCGAAAACUGACAGACUUGAGGGCUUCAGAGGGACACGGAAUUCCGGGUGGAGUGGUGAAAUGCGUAGAGAUUGGAAAGAACACCAAUGGCGAAAGCACUUACUGGGCUAUUACUGACACUGAGAGACGAAAGCUAGGGUAGCAAAUGGG
rnacentral:rRNA from 1 species